CCCCCACCACCUCCCCCUCUUCUUCUUCACAAGCUCAUCCCCCCAAUCCCCGCCCCCUUUUUCGUCACAAGAAAACCAGAACAAGCCCGGAGUCAUCGUCGCUCGCUGGAGGAGCACCACCGUCGAGCGCUGCUGUUGCCAGCAAGAACUCUGGCAGCCUCCUCUCCCGGAGCCGUCGUUUCCGUGGAAGGCAGAGCCGCGGCAGUCCGCCACCUCCUCUCUCGUUUUAUCUCUCGAAACCCACCGCCAUGGCUCCAAUUGUUGAUCCCAAACUCACAAACCUACCGAGAGAUUUGGUGAAAUUUGGGGAGAAAGUGAGGGCGAGUGCAGGGGCGUCCAUGGCGAGGUCGCCGAGGGUAGGGAGCGCCGAGGGCGAGGGCGGGGACGACGACUUCGGCGAAGGCAGGGGCGUUGAGAGUAAGGGCAGCGAGACAUGCACCCAAAUCUUUCAACCAUCUUUUCAAACCAAACCCAGCUGCGUCGAAAUUGAAUCCAAGCUCCACCUUGUUCUUUGUCUCUGCGGCGGCUCUGGUAGCACCUGGCUAAUCCCUUUCAUGGCCAAUCACUUGGUGAAGAAGAUCACCCAACUAAACGAGAGCUCCAAGAAUAUCGAUGCUUUGCAGUUGAAAUUGGGAGGGUAAUUUUGUAAACCUAAAAUCUAACCAAUAACACUGUACAAUCUUGAUUAUAAAACUAGGGGUGAGCGGUAGAUGUAUAAUAAAUGUGAAACAGUAAAUUUAGUGCGGGCCUUGCCCUAAAUGCGGGCUUGAG